GUUGGUGUUGAUCAGGAAGACACCCUCCAUCAGCUUUAUAGCGGGAAGACUGGACAAUCGCAACAUAAACAAGUGCUGACGCCAUAUUAUGUACAUGGGAAUAAGAGCAAAAAUGUGAUGGAAGGAAGUGUUUAGGACAGGCUGCUGAAGCAAACGUCUGAUGCUAUUGGCAUCUGCAUGUGCAACCGAGUGGGGAAAAAAGUAAGACAUGGCAACGUGAACAAGAGGAACAAACAAGGUACAGAUUGACGUGUGUGUACACACUCGGCAGCAGCGUAUCCCACAGCCUCAAGAGCUCAUACUAGACGAGGAGGACUGGAAUCAUCAGUAUUAAUAUAGCAGAGGGGCACGAUCAUUGCUGACACAUUGAGGACUGAUUCCUUUGAAGGCGGGAUAUGGGAAGACAAGGAUUUCACUGUACAGUGUCCAAAAGAAGUUUCUUCUUCACUCCAUUCACAGCAGAAGACAACGGAGUUCUAGAGCAAGAGCAACAUUAUCAAGAUGCUUAGUUGCAUAAGACGCCACGCUAGCACGUCUUCUCAGAAACUGAAGAUGCUCAACUAGCUGAUGUUUUUAGGAUAUUUUUUAACAGUCAGUUGUACAAAAUGGUUUGAGGCUGAAAUACAGUACAUGACAUUGUCCUCCAUUUAAAUCUUGGUUAUUAUUUGAAUGAUUUUCAGCAAUCAAUAAAAUGAUUGAAAAGCUAGCGGAACUCUCUGUGGGUUAUAUUAUCAAGUCAAGUUACGUUCAUGUACCGUAUUAAGGAGUUGAUACUGAAAAACACACAAUGCUUUUAAAAUCUCAGACAUAACUAUGAAAGGCUCAAUGACAUGCCACUAUUUGACAGUUUAAUAUCACCACAGUAUGCAAA